rnacentral:tRNA from 1 species
AACAGUGUGGCGUAGGGGAUUGAGUGAUGGACUAUGACUCUGGAGACCAGGGUUUGAUUCCCAGCUCAGUGA